rnacentral:rRNA from 1 species
GAUGAAUGCUGGCGGCGUGCCUAACACAUGCAAGUCGAGCGGCAGCGCGGGGUGCUUGCACCCUGUCGGCGAGCGGCGAACGGCUGAGUAACGCGUAGGAAUUUGCCCCAAAGUGAGGAAUAACUGCCCGAAAGGGUAGCUAAUGCCGCAUAUGGUCUUCGGAUUAAAGGAUUUAUCCGCUUUGGGAGAAGCCUGCGUUGGAUUAGGUUGUUGGUAGGGUAAUGGCCUACCAAGCCGACGAUCCAUAGCUGGUCUGAGUGGAUGAUCAGCCAGACUGGAACUGAGACACGGUCCAGACUCCUACGGGAGGCAGCAGUGAGGAAUCUUCCACAAUGGGCGAAAGCCUGAUGGAGCAACGCCGCGUGAAGGAUGAAGGCCUUCGGGUUGUAAACUUCUUUUAUGAGUGAAGAAUAUGACGGUAACUCAUGAAUAAGCACCGGCUAACUACGUG